rnacentral:rRNA from 1 species
UGGGGAAUAUUGCACAAUGGGCGCAAGCCUGAUGCAGCCAUGCCGCGUGUAUGAAGAAGGCCUUCGGGUUGUAAAGUACUUUCAGUCGGGAGGAAGGUGGUAAGGUUAAUAACCUUAUCAAUUGACGUUACCGACAGAAGAAGCACCGGCUAACUCCGUGCCAGCAGCCGCGGUAAUACGGAGGGUGCAAGCGUUAAUCGGAAUUACUGGGCGUAAAGCGCACGCAGGCGGUUGAUUGAGUCAGAUGUGAAAUCCCCGGGCUUAACCCGGGAAUUGCAUCUGAUACUGGUCAGCUAGAGUCGUGUAGAGGGGGGUAGAAUUCCAUGUGUAGCAGUGAAAUGCGUAGAGAUGUGGAGGAAUACCGGUGGCGAAGGCGGCCCCCUGGACAAAGACUGACGCUCAGGUGCGAAAGCGUGGGGAGCAAACAGG